rnacentral:rRNA from 1 species
AUUGAACGCUGGCGGCAGGCCUAACACAUGCAAGUCGAGCGAGCGGCGGACGGGUGAGUAAUGUAUGGGGAACUGCCCGAUAGAGGGGGAUAACUACUGGAAACGGUGGCUAAUACCGCAUACUAUCAGAUGUCCCCAUAUGGGAUUAGCUAGUAGGUGGGGUAAAGGCGCACCUAGGCGACGAUCCCUAGCUGGUCUGAGAGGAUGCUAAGCCACACUGUAACGGAGACACGGUCCAGACUCCGACGGGAGGCAGCAGUGGGGAAUAUUGCACAAUGGGCGCAAGCCUGAUGCAGCCAUGCCGCGUGUAUGAAGAAGGCCUUAGGGUUGUAAAGUACUUGCAGCGGGGAGGCGUUACCCGCAGAAGAAGCACCGGCUAACUCCGUGCCAGCAGCCGCGGUAAUAC